UAUGAAAAAAGCUAAAAAUUACAUUAAAAAUUAAAAGUUAAAAAUCUGGGUGUAGUCAGAUAGAAAAUAAUUAUGGUAUUAUUAUGAAUGGAGUUAAACCUUUGGGGUGAUAUUGCAAAACAUCACAAAGGGAUUUGGCUGCCCAAUUUCUAUAAAUGUUUUAAAAAUGAACUCCUUGCUGAAUAAUUUUCUAAAAGGAAAUAAAUAACAACUUUGAGUUUAUGGGCUCCACUACAUUUUCCUUGGCAGCCCUAUCCCGCUCUCUCAGCUGAUGGGAAUUAAUUUAUAGCAAGAACACUUGGUAUACAAAAUUUCUUGUUGAGUCCCGUCUGUAGUGUGCUUUGAUGUCAGAAGCUCUGAAUUUCACAGCUUUGGGGUCCUGUUUAGUGUGAGCCUGAAGAUUUCUUUGAAAGAUACUUUCAUUGGAUAAUUUUAAAGUAACUGUUAUACAUUUAAAACCUGGGAAUUCUUCAUGCUGUUUAAAUAAAUGACCAAUAUGGCGUUGCCUUUAAUCUGUCUUCAAUUAUAUAAUACUGCUGAUUUCAGAGAGAUUUCCUUUAAAUGCACAUCUUAGAAUUGACAAUUCCUUUAAAUACAAUGGGCCUCAGAUCAAAAGUGACUUAAAAGUUAUCUUCAUAUUAUACUGUUUAAAAGUAACAUGCAUUUUACUAGGAUCAUCGAUCUAUAUCCUUUUAAAAAAGAUUUUAUUAAUUUAGAGAGACAGACUGUAUGUGCAUGUGAGGGGGAUUAGGUAGGGGCAGAGGGAAAGGGGGAGACAGAAUCUCAAGCAGACUCAGAGCUGGGCAUGGAGCACUACCCAGGGCUUGAUCUCACUACCCUGAGAUCACAACCUGAGCUGAAACCAAGAAUCAGAGGCUUAACUGAGCCAUCCAGGCGCCUCAAUCUAUAUCCUUUUUUUAUAUCAAAAAUAAAUGUGGUUUUGCAUGUGGCCCUAUAGGUGCUUCCUCUAAAAUACAUCUCAAUUCUAUCUACCUGCCUUUUUAACCACCGUUCUCACCCAUGCCUAAGCCACCACCCACUGUCGUCUCUGGCUUGGGCUACUAGGAUGGCUUUCUCAUUGGUCUUCAUUCUUCCAUUCUUGCCCCAGCAACACCAUAAAGCUGACAACCUAAAUUGGAUUCUUUCAGUAACCUCCUAUCGCCCUUGCAAUUAAACCCAAGCUCCUCAUUGUAGCUUAUGAAGCCCUGAACCAACUUACACCAAUUCUCCUGCCUCCAACCUGUCUCUGAGUCAUUCUCUCCUUCUCCAUCUCUGCUUUAUCAUUUUAGCCUUCUUUCAUCUGAUAGAUCAAGUCAAGAUUUUUCCUUCCUUAGGACUUGAAGUGAUGGGACUCCUUCUGCCUGGAUGUCUUUUCCACUCUACCUGUUGUCAUCAUUGCGUUCUCUUGAUCUUCAUGAAGUUUCAGUUUGAUGUUGUACCCUGAACAAGUCUGUCCCUCCCAUCCAACUUAAACUAGGUCUUCUCUGUUAUUAUGCUAACUCAGUCAGACAGAGAAGGACACAUACCCCAUGACAUCACUUAUAUGCGGAAUCUAAAGAACAAAACAAACAAAUAACAAAAACCAGAAACAGACCCAUAAAUACACAGAGAACAAGGUAUUGCCAGAGGGGUAGAGGGUGGGGAAAUGGACAAAAUGAGUAAAGGGGAGUGGGAGGUACAGGCUUCCAGUUAUGGGAUGAAUAAGUCACAGAGAUAAAGAUACAGCAUAGGGAACAGAGUUGUGGUAUUAAUAGUGUUGUAUGGUGACAGAUGGUAGCUACACUUGUGGUGAGCAUAGCAUAAUGUAUAGAUUUGUCAAAUCACUGUUGUCCACCUGAAACUAACAUUGUGUGUCAACUAUACUUUAAUUUAAAAAAAUACUAAAAUAACUCCUCUUCCAUUCUUUUCCACUCUCAUCCCCAUAAUUUUCCUUCAUAACACUUUUUCAUAAUUGAGAA
rnacentral:lncRNA from 1 species